GUAUCGGCGGCCUGCGCCGACUCCAAUCGCAAUUGUCCAUCAAGACGGACCGCGUCCGGUGAGACCAGGAACAUGCGCUCGUUGGCGCCUUGCAGAUACAGGCCGUCGAGCCCUUCCACUCGCGACAGCGCCACGUAUCCCAUGCCCGGCGCGAAUGUGCGUCGCAAAUCCAUGACGGCACGAUCGAGUGUCAUGCCUUGCGAUUUGUGGAUGGUGAUGGCCCACGCGCAGCGCAACGGCACCUGUUUGACCGUGGCGAGCACGGUAUCGCCGUCCUGCAUCUGCCAGGAAUUCGGCUUCAUGGUGACGAUGUUGCCGUUUUCGAAUUCGACGAUCGGCCAGCCGCCCUGCGAUUGCGUGGUGAAUCCACGCACGGUGCCGAGCGACCCGUUGACGUACUGGUGGUCGGUGUCGUUGCGCACCGCCAUCACGGCCGCGCCCGUCUUGAGACACAACCGUUCGGGGGCCAGCAUGUUCUUUUUGAGCCGUUCCACCAGAUUCGCCGCGCCCUCGGAUUCGGCGAGGUAUUCGUGCGGUUCCUCCUUGAUUUCGAACAGGCGCAGGUCAUUAAGCGCGUCGGCCUGCCUGUUGACGGGGAACAGGUUCACCGCCUGCUGCCCGGGUUCCGGAAUGGCCCCCAACCGGGUCAGCAGCACAUUGCGGUCGCCAUCGUCCACCGCGCCUUCGCGAAUGUCGGUCAGCACGUUCAACAGCUGGCCGUCAUCCUGACGAUGCUGUUCGGUCAGAUAGCAGACAACGGGGUUCAAUUCGCGCCAUACCAACGAUUCGGUGACGAAACCUUCGGGAUUGAGUCCGGCGCGCAUGUACCGUUCGCGACUGGCCAGAUAUUCGGCGGACGGCGCGAUCAGGUCGUUGUUGCGUCCCGAUACCGAAACCGGCGGCAGCUGGAAAAAAUCGCCGGACAACACCACCUGCAGCCCGCCGAACGGACGUUCGUCGCGGCGGAUGAUGCGGAGUUUAGGCAAAUCCGGACUUCUUUAACACUGAGAGAUGAUGACGAGGCUCUACGGAGCUGAAGUAACCGAUACCACACUUCCAGGAAAAGCCACUAAGCUUCAGGUUUAUCUAAACCGUACUGAAAACCGACACAGGUGGUCAGGUAGAGAAUACUCAGGCGCUUGAGAGAACUCGGGUGAAGGAACUAGGCAAAAUAGCACCGUAACUUCGGGAGAAGGUGCGCCGGCGUAGAUUGUAGUCCCUUGCGGGCGAAGGUUGAACCGGUCGAAGAUACCAGCUGGCUGCAACUGUUUAUUAAAAACACAGCACUCUGCAAACACGAAAGUGGACGUAUAGGGUGUGAUGCCUGCCCGGUGCUGGAAGGUUAAUUGAUGGUGUAAUCGAAAGAGAAGCUCCUGAUCGAAGCCCCAGUAAACGGCGGCCGUAACUAUAACGGUCCUAAGGUAGCGAAAUUCCUUGUCGGGUAAGUUCCGACCUGCACGAAUGGCGUAACGAUCUCCACACUGUCUCGGCCAGAGACUCGGUGAAAUUGCAGUCGCGGUGAAAAUUCCGUGUACCCGCAGAAAGACGGAAAGACCCUGUGCACCUUUACUAUAGCUUGACAUUGGAUUUUGGGCCUGCAUGUGUAGGAUAGGUGGGAGGCUGUGAACCCUGUACGCCAGUAUGGGGGGAGCCAUCCUUGAAAUACCACCCUUGCAUGUUUAAGAUCCUAACUUCUUCCGGUUAUCCCGGAGAAAGACAGUGUCUGGCGGGUAGUUUGACUGGGGCGGUCGCCUCCUAAAGUGUAACGGAGGCAUGCAAAGGUUCCCUCAGCCUGAUCGGAAACCAGGCGCUGAGUGCAAACGCAUAAGGGAGCUUGACUGUAAGAGAGACAUCUCGAACAGGAACGAAAGUUGGCGUUAGUGAUCCGGUGGUCCCGUAUGGAAGGGCCAUCGCUCAUUGGAUAAAAGGUACGCCGGGGAUAACAGGCUGAUCGCAUCCAAGAGUUCACAUCGACGAUGCGGUUUGGCACCUCGAUGUCGGCUCAUCACAUCCUGGGGCUGAAGCAGGUCCCAAGGGUACGGCUGUUCGCCGUUUAAAGUGGUACGCGAGCUGGGUUUAAAACGUCGUGAGACAGUUUGGUCCCUAUCUUCUGUGGGCGAAGGAGAAUUGAGAGGGCCUGUCCCUAGUACGAGAGGACCGGGAUGGACGCACCCCUGGUGAUCCUGUUGUCGCGCCAGCGGCAUAGCAGGGUAGCUAUGUGCGGAAGGGAUAACCGCUGAAAGCAUCUAAGCGGGAAGCCUGCCUCAAGAUAAGUUCUCCCCUCGAAAGAGCUGAAGGGCCCGGGUAGACUACCCGGUCGAUAGGCUGGAGGUGUAAGCGCGGCGACGUGCUCAGCUGACCAGUACUAAUAGCCCGAGCGGCUUAUUUUU
rnacentral:rRNA from 1 species